GGGUCAGUAGGUUGGUCGUGCCACCGGUACGUACUGGUCUCACUGAUUCCUCCUUCCUGAAGAACCGUAAUGCCAUUAAUUUGGUGUUGCGGGGAAACAGGACUGUUACUUUGAAAAAAUUAGAAUGUUUAAAGCAAGCUAACGCUUGAAUACAUUAGCAUGGAAUAAUGAAAUAGGACGAUCGAUCCUAUUUUGUUGGUUUCUGGGAUUGACGUA
rnacentral:rRNA from 1 species